rnacentral:rRNA from 1 species
UGGGGAAUUUUGGACAAUGGGGGAAACCCUGAUCCAGCCAUCCCGCGUGUGCGAUGAAGGCCUUCGGGUUGUAAAGCACUUUUGGCAGGAAAGAAACGUCAUGGGUUAAUACCCCGUGAAACUGACGGUACCUGCAGAAUAAGCACCGGCUAACUACGUGCCAGCAGCCGCGGUAAUACGUAGGGUGCAAGCGUUAAUCGGAAUUACUGGGCGUAAAGCGUGCGCAGGCGGUUCGGAAAGAAAGAUGUGAAAUCCCAGAGCUCAACUUUGGAACUGCAUUUUUAACUACCGGGCUAGAAUGUGUCAGAGGGAGGUGGAAUUCCGCGUGUAGCAGUGAAAUGCGUAAGUAGGCGGAGGAAAACCGAUGGCGAAGGCAGCCUCCUGGGAUAACACUGACGCUCAUGCACGAAAGCGUGGGGAGCAAACAGG